AAUCCCCAAAUUCUUAUUCAACCCUUUUAUAGUAAUGAGUAAUUCUAUACCCCCUAUAGAAAUUUUCAUGUUAAAACUAGUAACAAGAAGAUGACCCUUCUCUUAAAUGCAGACAUAAACCAGAAAGGACACACCACUGGUAAUUAACACCCAUGAGCUGCUAAUAGCAACGUCAUGAAAAACCCCUAUUUAUCUAUAUGUUAACCUAACACAAGAGCAUUAAAAGAAAGAUUAAAAGGAAAAGAAGGAACUCGGCAAACAGCAACCUCGCCUGUUUACCAAAAACAUCGCCUCUCGAACAAAUAUGAGAGGUCCAGCCUGCCCAGUGACUCUGUUCAACGGCCGCGGUAUCCUAACCGUGCGAAGGUAGCGUAAUCACUUGUUCUUUAAAUGGGGACUAGUAUGAACGGCACCACGAAGGUUACACUGUCUCCUUUUCCCAAUCAGUGAAACUGAUCUCCCCGUGAAGAAGCGGGGAUAAAUAUAUAAGACGAGAAGACCCUAUGGAGCUUUAAACGAAGCGACAACCGCCGCCCCCUUCAAAUCUCAGAAAACUUAUUGUUAAACCCGGCGACAUGGUUGCUAGUUUUAGGUUGGGGUGACCACGGAGAAUAAAACAACCUCCGUGUUGAAAGGGGCCUCCCCUAAGCAAAAAUCCACAACUUUAUGCAUCAAUAAAUUGACAUCAAUUGACCCAAUAUUUUGACCAACGAACCAAGUUACCCUAGGGAUAACAGCGCAAUCCAUUUUGAAAGCCCCUAUCGACAAAUGGGUUUACGACCUCGAUGUUGGAUCAGGGUAUCCCAGUGGCGCAGCAGCUACUAAA
rnacentral:rRNA from 1 species